rnacentral:rRNA from 1 species
CCUACGGGAGGCAGCAGUGGGGAAUAUUGCACAAUGGGGGAAACCCUGAUGCAGCGACGCCGCGUGAGUGAAGAAGUAUUUCGGUACGUAAAGCUCUAUCAGCAGGGAAGAAAAUGACGGUACCUGACUAAGAAGCCCCGGCUAACUACGUGCCAGCAGCCGCGGUAAUACGUAGGGGGCAAGCGUUAUCCGGAUUUACUGGGUGUAAAGGGAGCGUAGACGGCAGCGCAAGUCUGGAGUGAAAUCCCAUGGCUCAACCAUGGAACUGCUUUGGAAACUGUGCAGCUAGAGUGCAGGAGAGGUAAGCGGAAUUCCUAGUGUAGCGGUGAAAUGCGUAGAUAUUAGGAGGAACACCAGUGGCGAAGGCGGCUUACUGGACUGUAACUGACGUUGAGGCUCGAAAGCGUGGGGAGCAAACAGGAUUAGAUACCCGAGUAGUC